UACGGGGGGUGCAAGCGUUAAUCGGAAUGACUGGGCGUAAAGGGUGCGUAGGUGGUUGUGUAAGUUGUACUUGAAAUCAAAGGGCUUAACCUUUUGCGGAGGUACAAAACUGCGUGACUAGAGUAUAGGAGAGGGUAGUGGAAUUUCCGGUGUAGCGGUGAAAUGCGUAGAGAUCGGAAGGAACACCAGUUGCGAAGGCGGCUACCUGGCUGAAUACUGACACUGAGGCACGAAAGCGUGGGUAGCAAACAGG
rnacentral:rRNA from 1 species